rnacentral:sRNA from 1 species
GCUGGGCACAGUGGCUCAUGUCUGUAAUCCCAGCACUCUAGGAGGCCAAGGUAGGUGGAUCGCUUGAGCUCAGGAGUUUAAGACCAACCUGGGAAACAUGGUGAAAUGCUGUCUCUACAAAAUAUACAAAACUUAGCUGGGUGUGGUGGUGCGCGCAUGUAGUCCCAGCUACUUGGGGGCUGAGGCAGGAAGAUCACUUGAGCCCAGAAGGUUGAGGCUGCAGUGAGCCAUGUUCGUGCCACUGCACUCCAGCCUGAGCAACAAAGUGAGACCCUGUCUCCU